GGCUUGGUCCUGACUUUACUAUAAGCUUUAACCCAACUUAUACAUGCAAGUCUCCGCACCCCUGUGAGAAUGCCCUCAAUCCCCCUGCCGGGGACGAGGAGCCGGUAUCAGGCACACCCAUUGAGCCCAAGACACCUUGCUUAGCCACACCCCCAAGGGAAUUCAGCAGUAAUAAACAUUAAGACAUAAGUGAAAACUUGACUUAAUUAGGGUUAAGAGGGCCGGUAAAAUCCGUGCCAGCCACCGCGGUUAUACGAAAGACCCCAGUUUAUAGAUACGGCGUAAAGGGUGGUUAAGAGGGAAACCAAAAUAAAGCUAAAGAUCCCCUAAGCAGUCAUACGCUCCACGGAGACACGAAACCCAAAUACGAAAGUUGCCUUAAAUAAACUUUACCUGACCCCACGAAAGCUGAAAAACAAACUGGGAUUAGAUACCCCACUAUGUUCAGCCUUAAACCCAGAUGAAAAUUUUACUAAAUCAUCCGCCAGGGUACUACAAGCACAGCUUAAAACCCAAAGGACUUGGCGGUGCCUCAGACCCACCUAGAGGAGCCUGUUCUAGAACCGAUAACCCCCGUUAAACCUCACCACCCCUUGCCUCUCCCGCCUAUAUACCGCCGUCGUCAGCUUUACCCUGGUGAAGGCCCAAUAGUAAGCAAAAUGGGUUUAACCCAAAACGUCAGGGUCGAGGUGUAGCGCACGAGGUGGGAAGAAAUGGGCUACAUUUUCUACCACAGAAUACUACGAAUAAUGCCCUGAAAACAGCAUCUGAAGGAGGAUUUAGCAGUAAAAAGUAAAUAGAGUGUACUUUUGAAUUAGGCUCUGAGGCGCGCACACACCGCCCGUCACUCUCCCCAUCACCACCAAUUUAACUAUUUCUAAUAUUAAUACAACAACACGGGGAGGCAAGUCGUAACAUGGUAAGUGUACCGGAAGGUGCACUUGGAAUAUC
rnacentral:ncRNA from 1 species